rnacentral:lncRNA from 1 species
UCUGGUUCUAUAGAAAAAUGCUUUUAAUUAGAUUGGAUUCAAAUUCUUUGUCUUUUUAUGGCUUUCAUAUUCACUUUGUGAUGUAAAAUAGGUCAUACCAACAGUGGUUUUCUGCAGCUGAGAUGUACAUAAUAUCUUUCCUUCUGUAGCAUAUGCAGGCCUAGGUUUUGAUGGAAUUUAUUUUACACCACUUUUGAAGUUCUUUUGAUUAUAGCAUUGCCUCCUUUAGCAAAGAUACUACUCUUUGUUUUAUGCACAACAGAUUUAACAAAUAUUUUUCAGCAGCGAACUUUUUCUGCAGUGAUGCUUCUUGUCCAAGGAUGGGAUCUAGAAAAUUUUGAUACUAAUGUGCAAGAAAUAGAAUGACUUGUAGUACAAAACUUAUUUUCUUUUUUAUGAUUAUUUUAUUUUUUGAAAACUAUAUAUUUCAUUGAUAACCAAUUAAGCAAUGAUUUCCCCCAUAUGAUUGAUUGUAGAUCCAAUCUUUCAAUUAUUGCAUUGGUAGAUGGUGACACUGAAUGUUGUUUUCCAUUCUGGAAGUGGAUUAUCAGUUUGUGAGUCUUAUUUUAAAAAACGUACGGGAAACGGGGGAACUAUUACUCGUUAAAGUGUUACUAAUAGUCAUUUACAAGCGUCUCAGAGGAUAUUUAAACUCCAUUCUUUGAGGUUAUAAAAUCGAACUUCUACGACUGAGUUGACACUUUAUUAUUAUAAACAGUCUUUGAGCCUAUUGUUGUACUCAAUCCCUCAAGAAAUUGACUCAACAUUCCUAAAAAGCUUAAUUUUCUUACCAAAAUACAUGGUUUGAUUUGAUCCUUCAAAUGUAUCAAACCUUUUUGCAAAUUGAGAAACUCUUUUCAAUUUUUCAUCAUUGUUGAAUAAAGAAAAUAUGCU